UACGUAGGCAGCGAGCGUUGUUCGGAGUUACUGGGCGUAAAGUGUGCGCAGGCGGCCGCGCAAGUCGAGUGUGAAAGCCCCGGGCUUAACUUGGGAAUUGCGCUCGAAACUACGUGGCUGGAGUAUGGCAGAGGAAGGUGGAAUUCCACGUGUAGCGGUGAAAUGCGUAGAGAUGUGGAGGAACACCGAUGGCGAAGGCAGCCUUCUGGGCCAAUACUGACGCUCAUGCACGAAAGCGUGGGGAGCAAACAGG
rnacentral:rRNA from 1 species